rnacentral:rRNA from 1 species
GACGUAGGUGGCGAGCGUUGGCCGGAAUUACUGGGCGUAAAGGGUGCGUAGGCGGCUCCUUAAGUGAGGUGUGAAAUCCCUGGGCUCAACCCAGGAACUGCACUUCAAACUGGGGAGCUAGAGUGCAGGAGAGGAAAGCGGAAUUCCCGGUGUAGCGGUGAAAUGCGUAGAGAUCGGGAGAAACACCAGUGGCGAAGGCGGCUUUCUGGACUGUAACUGACGCUGAGGCACGAAAGCGUGGGUAGCAAACAGG